rnacentral:rRNA from 1 species
UACAGAGGUCCCGAGCGUUGUUCGGAUUUACUGGGCGUAAAGGGUGUGUAGGCGGUCGAGACAGUCCGGCGUUAAAUAUCUGGGCUCAACCCAGAUACCGCGUUGGAUACUACUUGGCUAGAGAGGCAUAGGGGGAACCGGAAUUCUCGGUGUAGCAGUGAAAUGCGUAGAUAUCGAGAGGAACGCCAGUGGCGAAAGCGGGUUCCUGGAUGCCUUCUGACGCUGAGGCACUAAAGCUGGGGGAGCAAACGGG